AUAUACACAAAUUGUAUUAACGCUUAUUAUAUAUAGUAUAUAAUCAUUGUUGCCCAUAAUUAACCAACACUGAACAGCCAGUGUUAUACAAUUUAUAGUUGACGCAUCCAAUCGAAAAUAUGAAAGUCAAACAAUCAAAGCACCUCAAUUACCAUUCGCAUGAAGCUUUUCAUGUGCAACGCUUUAAAUAGCAUUAAAUAGAAAUAGACCAUGAACGAUUCCACUCAAGUACUCACACAAUAUGAAAUUGUCGGAUAGUGAAAGACUGCGAAUYGGUUCCCAAUCGAAUCGAUUUGAACUCAGAACUUUAAUUUGUCUUUUGAUACGUGUGAAAGCCGAGGCCAAACGUAUAGAAGCCAAACACAUAGAUAUAUAUCCGCAUUUGAU